rnacentral:ncRNA from 1 species
AUAGACCGGUAACUCAUAUAUGCUCGAGAUAUGGUCGAGCGUCUCUACCUAAAGCCGUAAAUUUUAGACUAUGAGUUGGUUG